rnacentral:rRNA from 1 species
GAUGAACGCUGGCGGCGUGCCUAAUACAUGCAAGUAGAACGCUGAAGGAAGGAGCUUGCUCUUUCUGGAUGAGUUGCGAACGGGUGAGUAACGCGUAGGUAACCUGCCUGGUAGCGGGGGAUAACUAUUGGAAACGAUAGCUAAUACCGCAUAACAGUAGAUGUUGCAUGAUAUCUACUUAAAAGGUGCAAUUGCACCACUACCAGAUGGACCUGCGUUGUAUUAGCUAGUUGGUGAGGUAACGGCUCACCAAGGCGACGAUACAUAGCCGACCUGAGAGGGUGAUCGGCCACACUGGGACUGAGACACGGCCCAGACUCCUACGGGAGGCAGCAGUAGGGAAUCUUCGGCAAUGGACGGAAGUCUGACCGAGCAACGCCGCGUGAGUGAAGAAGGUUUUCGGAUCGUAAAGCUCGGUUGUAAGAGAAGAACGAGUGUGAGAGUGGAAAGUUCACACUGUGACGGUAUCUGACCAGAAAGGGACGGCUAACUACGUG